AAAAAGAAGUCCUAUGAUAGUAAGUUAAUUUGUGCGAGAAUCAAAUAUGUUAUAAAUUAUUUUGAAUUAAGUUUAUUAAAAAUUUUGUAUUGGAAAGGAAGCUAUUUUCGUACGAAACUGAAUAGGCUUAGAAUCAUACUCUAAUUUUUUUUUUGAGAGAAAGAUAGAUAGCAUGCUAUCCGAUUCGUUUAUUUCAUUUAGAAAUAAACUUAGCUAGAAAUAUGAAUUAACUAGGAUUCGAACUUGAGUCUCGGAUAUCGACCACCAAGCCCUUUUGCCAUUUAUUAUAGGGACGGUCGGUAAUCAUACUUUAUUUUAACGGAAAACUUCAAAAACCCUCCUUGUGGUUUCAAUUUUUUUCACUUUAGUACUCUGUUGUUUAAAAUGUAUUAAGUUAGUACCUUGUGAUUUCUCACUUUAUCACUUUAGUACCCUGUGGUUUAAAGUGUAUCAAGUUAGUACCCUGUGGUUUUGCACUUUAUCACUUUAGUACCCUGUGGUUUUAAUUUUGUAUCAAGUUAGUACCCUAUAGUUUUUUAAACUAUAGAGUACUAAAGUGAUAAAGUGUGAAACCACAUGGUACUAAAGUGAUAAAGUGCAAAACCAUAUGGUACUAACUUGAUACACCUUAAAUAAUAGGGUACUAACUUGAUACACUUUAAAUCACAGAAUACUAAAAUGAAAAAGUGUGAAACCACAUGGGGUUUUAAAGUUUUCUCUUAUUUUAAAGUGAUGAAUGGGGAUGUACUAACAAUAUGUACAUUUAUGCUGCUCAGUCCUUUUACGAGGGUUCAUAACCUGUCUAUUCACUACGUGCCAUCAUGUGACUUAACAUGUGUUCCCGUACGGAUGUUCUAUACGGUAUUUAUCUGUGUGUACUAGAAUUGUUUGAGUGCGUGUGUGAAAACUCGCAGGAGAUACUGAGCCCCAGUAGGCAGGAAAAAUUCUAGAAUGCAACAAGUAUAUUUGUGACGUAGCGGAACAAAUCAAUCAAAUAUUUUUUUUUAGAAAUGUAUGUCCUAUUAUGAAUGCAAAAAAAUAUUUUUAUUGUACUUUUGUUUGAAAAGAAGGAAUAUGAUUGGCUUGUCAUUGAUGACGUGGCGCAAGUAUGAUAGUACAGAAUUCCUCCACUAGGCAGAGGCUCUGUAACUUUUUCACAAAAUAAAAUAAAAGAAAAGAAAAAUUUUUAAAAACUAUAUGCCAUCCUUCAAUUGAUCAUAUAUUUUUAUGGACAAUUAAUGCGUUGUACCAUAAAUAGAUGCAUAAGUUUAAUUAUUUCAUAUUUUUAGCUAACUUUAUGUCUAAAAAAGAACGAAAUAGAUAGCUACUAUCUUUCUGUCAAAAAAAAAAAAAAUUGUAUUAAAAUUACUCUGCUGUGAAUGUACUAUUUUCAC
rnacentral:lncRNA from 1 species